rnacentral:rRNA from 1 species
GGACCCGCACAAGUAGUGGAGCAUGUGGUUUAAUUCGAAGAUACGCGCAGAACCUUACCAACACUUGACAUGUUCGUCGCGACUCUAAGAGAUUAGAGUUUUCGGUUCGGCCGGACGAAACACAGGUGCUGCAUGGCUGUCGUCAGCUCGUGUCGUGAGAUGUUGGGUUAAGUCCCGCAACGAGCGCAACCCUCACUUUUAGUUGCCAUCAUUAAGUUGGGCACUCUGAAAGAACUGCCAGUGAUAAGCUGGAGGAAGGUGGGGAUGACGUCAAGUCCUCAUGGCCCUUACGUGUUGGGCUACACACGUGCUACAAUGGUAGGUACAGAGGGAAGCCACCCCCCGCGAGGGGGAG